rnacentral:lncRNA from 1 species
GGUUUGGGUAUAGUAAACCAUAUUAUAUACAUUCUAUUUGGGUUUAUACUUCCUUGAUUAUGGUUUAGCUUAAUCUAUUUAUUUAGGUUUAGGGUAUAUUUGGAUUAGGGUUUAGUUGCUAGAAUUUAGGGUUUAGUAUUUAGAAGGUGAAGGGGUAUGGUUGGAGUCAACAUUAACUUCUUUCAUGCAAUCAUAGACAUUUUAUAGUUUCACCAAUAUGUACUAUGUUAUUUAUUUUGUUCCAUUCUAUUUGGGUUUUGUGUUUAUAUUUGGGUUUAGGGUUUAUAUUUGAGUUAGGGUUUAGUGAUUAGAGUUUAGGGUUUAAUAUUUGGAAAUUUAUGUUUGGGUUUUGUGUUUAUAUUUGGUUUUAGGGUUUAUACACUUUUUAUUUUUUUUAAAAUUAUGUUUCUAUCCACUCAUUCUACUGCAUAUAGUAAAUAAAUAUGUUGUAAAUAAAUUUGUGACAUGAGUUCUUUUACGUGAUGUGUUUGUAAAUAAUAGUGAUUCAUUAUUGACCGGCAAUAAAAAAAAUUUGGAUGGAUUA